rnacentral:rRNA from 1 species
ACGGGUGAGUAACACGUGGGUAACCUACCCAUCAGAGGGGGAUAACACUUGGAAACAGGUGCUAAUACCGCAUAACAGUUUAUGCCGCAUGGCAUAAGAGUGAAAGGCGCUUUCGGGUGUCGCUGAUGGAUGGACCCGCGGUGCAUUAGCUAGUUGGUGAGGUAACGGCUCACCAAGGCCACGAUGCAUAGCCGACCUGAGAGGGUGAUCGGCCACACUGGGACUGAGACACGGCCCAGACUCCUACGGGAGGCAGCAGUAGGGAAUCUUCGGCAAUGGACGAAAGUCUGACCGAGCAACGCCGCGUGAGUGAAGAAGGUUUUCGGAUCGUAAAACUCUGUUGUUAGAGAAGAACAAGGACGUUAGUAACUGAACGUCCCCUGACGGUAUCUAACCAGAAAGCCACGGCUAACUACGUGCCAGCAGCCGCGGUAAUACGUAGGUGGCAAGCGUUGUCCGGAUUUAUUGGGCGUAAAGCGAGCGCAGGCGGUUUCUUAAGUCUGAUGUGAAAGCCCCCGGCUCAACCGGGGAGGGUCAUUGGAAACUGGGAGACUUGAGUGCAGAAGAGGAG